rnacentral:rRNA from 1 species
GAUGAACGCUGGCUACAGGCUUAAACACAUGCAAGUCGUGGGGAAACGGCAUUAUGUGCUUGCACAUUCUGGACGUCGACCGGCGCACGGGUGAGUAUCGCGUAUCCAACCUGCCCCUUACUUGGGGAUACCCCGUUGAAAGACGGCCUAAUACCCGAUGUGUUUCAUUGACGGCAUCCGAUAUGAAACAAAGGUUUUUCCGGUAAGGGAUGGGGAUGCGUCUGAUUAGCUUGUUGGCGGGGCAACGGCCCACCAAGGCGACGAUCAGUAGGGGUCCUGAGAGGAAGGUCCCCCACAUUGGAACUGAGACACGGUCCAAACUCCUACGGGAGGCAGCAGUGAGGAAUAUUGGUCAAUGGACGCAAGUCUGAACCAGCCAAGUAGCGUGCAGGAUGACGGCCCUAUGGGUUGUAAACUGCUUUUAUGUGGGAAUAAAGUGGCGCACGUGUGCGCCAUUGCAUGUACCUCAUGAAUAAGGACCGGCUAAUUCCGUGCCAGCAGCCGCGGUAAUACGGAAGGUCCGGGCGUUAUCCGGAUUUAUUGGGUUUAAAGGGAGUGUAGGCGGUCUGUUAAGCGUGUUGUGAAAUUUAGGUGCUCAACAUUUAACUUGCAGCGCGAACUGUCAGACUUGAGUACACGCAGCGCAGGCGGAAUUCAUGGUGUAGCGGUGAAAUGCUUAGAUAUCAUGAGGAACUCCGAUCGCGAAGGCAGCCUGCGGGAGUGUUACUGACGCUUAAGCUCGAAGGUGCGGGUAUCGAACAGG